GACGAACGCUGGCGGCGUGCCUAAUACAUGCAAGUCGAACGCAGUGGGGACGGGUGAGUAACACGUGGGUAACCUCCCAUCAGAGGAGAUAACACUUGGAAACAGGUGCUAAACCGAUACUGAUGGAUGAACCCGCAGUGCAUUAGCUAGUUGGUGAGGUAACGGCUCACCAAGGCCACGAUGCAUAGCCGAGCCGAGAGGGUGAUGGGCCAAAAUGGGACUGAGACACGGCCAAGACUCAUACGGGAGGCAGCAGUGGGGAAUCGUAGGCAAUGGACGAAAGUCUGACCGAGCAACGCCGCGUGAUUGAAGAAGGUUUUCGGAUCGUAAAACUCUGUUGUUAGAGAAGCGGUAUCUAACCAGAAAGCAACGGCUAACUACGUGCCAGCAGCCGCGGUAAUAC
rnacentral:rRNA from 1 species